UCAAAAACAUGUCUUUUUAGUAUUUAUAAAAAGUCUAACCUGCCCACUGAUUAAUUUUAAAUGGCCGCAGUAUACUAACUGUGCAAAGGUAGCAUAAUAAUUAGUCUUUUAAUUGAAGGCUGGUAUGAAUGGUUGGACGAGAUAUUAACUGUUUCAAUUAAAUUUAUAAUAAAAUUUUAUUUUUUAGUCAAAAAGCUAAAAUGAAUUUAAAAGACGAGAAGACCCUAUAAAUCUUUAUAUUUAAAUUAUUAUAAUUUUGUAGAAGAUUUAUGUUAUAAUAAUAAAUAAUAUUUUAUUGGGGUGAUAUUAAAAUUUAAUAAACUUUUAAUUUUAAAAAUCAUUAAUUUAUGAAUAUUUGAUCCGUUAUUAACGAUUAAAAAAACAAGUUACUUUAGGGAUAACAGCGUAAUUUUUUUGGAGAGUUCAUAUCGAUAAAAAAGAUUGCGACCUCGAUGUUGGAUUAAGAUAUAAUUUUAGGUGUAGCUGCUUAGAUUUUAAGUCUGUUCGACUUUUAAAUUCUUACAUGAUCUGAGUUCAGACCGGCGUAAGCCAGGUUGGUUUCUAUCUUUAAAUAAUAAAAAUAUUUCAGUACGAAAGGACCUAAUAUUUAAUAAAUUAUUAUUUUUAUGUUGAAUAUAAUUAACAU
rnacentral:rRNA from 1 species